rnacentral:rRNA from 1 species
UACGAAGGGGGCUAGCGUUGCUCGGAAUCACUGGGCGUAAAGCGCACGUAGGCGGAUUGUUAAGUCAGGGGUGAAAUCCUGGAGCUCAACUCCAGAACUGCCUUUGAUACUGGCGACCUUGAGUCCGGGAGAGGUGAGUGGAACUGCGAGUGUAGAGGUGAAAUUCGUAGAUAUUCGCAAGAACACCAGUGGCGAAGGCGGCUCACUGGCUCGGUACUGACGCUGAGGUGCGAAAGCGUGGGGAGCAAACAGG